UACGUAGGUGGCAAGCGUUGUCCGGAUUUAUUGGGUUUAAAGGGUGCGUAGGCGGUCAAGUAGGUCAGCGGUGAAAUCCGGCAGCUCAACUGUCGAUGUGCCAUUGAUACUGCAUGACUUGAGUACUGAUGAGGUAGGCGGAAUUGACGGUGUAGCGGUGAAAUGCUUAGAUAUCGUCAAGAACACCGAUAGCGAAGGCAGCUUACUAAGCAGUAACUGACGCUGAUGCACGAAAGUGUGGGGAUCAAACAGG
rnacentral:rRNA from 1 species